rfam:Medicago truncatula strain A17 chromosome 4, whole genome shotgun sequence.
AAAGUAGAUUUGAGCCAGGAUGGCCUGCCAGCAUGCAUUUAUGGUGUUGCUAGCGGGACUUCCUGUCUCAUAUUUGCUCA